GGCCAUACUAACUCGAUCAAGUCCUGCGGAGACCUUAAAUGUUGAGGAGAUUCUGAUCAGAAAUGUCCUGGAAUCACAGCUUUUAAAUUUUUCAACAACAAUUCCCAAUGGAUCACCUGAACUGAACUCUUUUACUAUUGACUCUUCAGAGAGUUGUCCUACCAGACAAUCAGUGGUGGAUGGCUAUUGUGUCAAUUGUGGUCCAGGAAAUUUCUUCAAUAGCAAUACAAUUGUUUGUGAGGAUUGUCCAGUGGGAACGUACCAGGAUCAGGAUGACCAGACUUCCUGUACUCCAUGUCCGCAGGGAUUCACAACACAGACUGUAGC